AUUGAACGCUGGCGGCAGGCUUAACACAUGCAAGUCGAGCGGGGAAGGGUAGCUUGCUACCUAACCUGGCGGCGGACGGGUGAGUAAUGCUUAGGAAUCUGCCAUUUAGUGGGGGACAACAUUCCGAAAGGAAUGCUAAUACCGCAUACGUCCUACGGGAGAAAGCAGGGGAUCUUCGGACCUUGCGCUAAAUGAUGAGCCUAAGUCGGAUUAGCUAGUUGGUGGGGUAAAGGCCUACCAAGGCGACGAUGUGUAGCGGGUCUGAGAGGAUGAUCCGCCACACUGGGACUGAGACACGGCCCAGACUCCUACGGGAGGCAGCAGUGGGGAAUAUUGGACAAUGGGCGGAAGCCUGAUCCAGCCAUGCCGCGUGUGUGAAGAAGGCCUUAUGGUUGUAAAGCACUUUAAGCGAGGAGGAGGCUACUUAGAUUAAUACUCUAGGAUAGUGGACGUUACUCGCAGAAUAAGCACCGGCUAACUCUGUGCCAGCCGCCGCAGUAACAC
rnacentral:rRNA from 1 species